CUUGUAAUGCGGCCUAUAAGACGGUCUCAAGCCCGAAUAAAACGCAAAGAGAAAG
rnacentral:ribozyme from 2 species